rnacentral:rRNA from 1 species
CAAUAGCGUAUAUUUAUGUUGCUGCAGUUAAAAAGCUCGUAGUUGGAUUUCGGGUGGGAAUGGCCGGUCCGCCGUUUCGGUGUGCACUUGCUACGCCCACCUUGCUGCCGGGGACGUGCUCUUGAGUUCACGCUCGGGACACGGAGUCGGCGAGGUUACUUUGAGUAAAUUAGAGUGUUCAAAGCAGGCCUACGCUCUGAAUACAUUAGCAUGGAAUAACACGAUAGGACUCUGGCCUAUCUUGUUGGUCUGUAGGACCGGAGUAAUGAUUAAGAGGGACAGUCGGGGGCAUUCGUAUUUCAUUGUCAGAGGUGAAAUUCUUGGAUUUAUGAAAGACGAACUACUGCGAAAGCAUUUGCCAAGGAUGUUUUCAUUAA